rnacentral:rRNA from 1 species
UAGCGGGAUGCCUGACACAUGCAAGUCGAACGGCAGCACGGACUUCGGUCUGGUGGCGAGUGGCGAACGGGUGAGUAAUGUAUCGGAACGUGCCCUAGUAGCGGGGGAUAACUACGCGAAAGCGUGAGCUAAUACCGCAUACGCCCUACGGGGGGAAAGCAGGGGAUCUUCGGACCUUGCACUAUUAGAGCGGCCGGAUAUCGGAUUAGCUAGUUGGUGGGGUAACGGCCCACCAAGGCGACGAUCCGUAACUGGUUUGAGAGGACGACCAGCCACACUGGGACUGAGACACGGCCCANACUCCUACGGGAGGCAGCAGUGGGGAAUUUUGGACAAUGGGGGAAACCCUUGAUCCAGCCAUCCCGCGUGUGCGAUGAAGGCUUCGGGUUGUAAAGCACUUUUGGCAGGAAAGAAACGUCCCCGGGCUAAUACCC